AUUGAACGCUGGCGGCAGGCUUAACACAUGCAAGUCGAACGAGUGGCGGACGGGUGAGUAAUGUUUGGGAAUCUGGCCGAUGGAGGGGGAUAACUACUGGAAACUGUAGCUAAUACCGCGUACCAUCGGAUGUGCCCAAGGGGGAUUAGGUAGUAGGUGGGGUAAAGGCUCACCAAGCCGACGAUCUCUAGCUGGUCUGAGAGGCUGACCAGCCACACUGGAACGGAGACACGGUCCAGAAUCCUACGGGAGGCAGCAGUGGGGAAUAUUGCACAAUGGGCGCAAGCCUGAUGCAGCCAUGCCGCGUGUAUGAAGAAGGCCUUAGGGUUGUAAAGUACUUUCAGCGAGGAGGCGUUACUCGCAGAAGAAGCAUCGGCUAACUCCGUGCCAGCAGCCGCGGUAAUAC
rnacentral:rRNA from 1 species